rnacentral:misc_RNA from 1 species
AAGUCGUAACAAGGUUUCCGUAGGUGAACGUGCGGAAGGAUCAUUAACAAGUAUCCAAACGUUAAACCCCCCUGUGAACCUUCAGUGUACUCGUUCGUAGCAGUAAUCCCUGGUAAAUCAUCGCCGAACAGUUUUCGAUUCAGGGACGUCUGCAAGGAGCGUGCAUGUUGUGUGAGCAAGUGUCCUGGCAUCCCCAAGCAGUUAGUGUCUGUGUAAGGAUGACGCAGUCACGAUCGUUGGAGGCCCACACGGCCGACGACUGGGUCACUGGGCGCGUUUGCUAAGCGCGGCCGCGAUAAUACGCAGUCGACCAAAAACCGAACAACUGAUAUCUUGGUUCUC